CAGCCGCCGCGGUAAUACGGAGGGAGCUAGCGUUGUUCGGAAUCACUGGGCGUAAAGCGCACGUAGGCGGCUAUUCAAGUCAGGGGUGAAAGCCCGGGGCUCAACCCCGGAACUGCCUUUGAAACUAGAUAGCUUGAAUCUUGGAGAGGCGAGUGGAAUUCCGAGUGUAGAGGUGAAAUUCGUAGAUAUUCGGAAGAACACCAGUGGCGAAGGCGACUCGCUGGACAAGUAUUGACGCUGAGGUGCGAAAGCGUGGGGAGCAAACAGGAUUAGAUACCCCUGUAGUCCCUGUCUCUUAUAC
rnacentral:rRNA from 1 species